CAUCUUGGGGAAACACUGGAAACAUUCCCCCCAAAGUUGUGAAGACGCCAGACAUUCCCACCCCAUGUGGUCCUCACAUGUGUGGGAGGCACUGGCCUGUGCCUUUAUCAAGAGAGAGAAGCUGGAAGUACCAAAAUGGGAAAGCGUGAGAUAAAGUGAUAAUCACUUAUGGAUAUUUUAUUGCAUAUCUGGAAAACUCUAGAGAAGCAACUGAAAAAAGUGAACAAAAAUCUAAGGAUUUGGCAAAGUAUAAAAUUAGGAUAUGGAAAUUGGCAGCCUUUCUAUCUAGAAACGAGAACCACUAGGAAAUAUGAUCAAAGAAAAGACAACAUCAAAAAAAGGUAAAACAUCUGAGAAUGUGGUUAGAGGAAAUGUGGAAACUCUACAGCAGGAAGACUUCACGGCCUCCGGGGCUGCGCUGGCUGGGACGAGGGGACCAGCGGGCUGUGCUGGAAGGGAAGACUUGUCAAGAUGCCGGUUUUCACUAAGUUCAUCUACAGUUCCAGCCAGACCACUGACCCACUGCCCCAGAGCAGCCGGCGAACACGGAGUUGGUGGGAAUCGGGGCGCUGACGGCUGACCCGGGCAGCGUGACCUCGGGCGGUGCUUUUCAAGUCUCGGAAGCAGGACGUGAGCAUCCCUUCUGUGUUUGCGCCUCGUCAUACAUCCAGGGGAGAGGUGCUUGUCCCUGCGGAUUAAUUCCCAGAGAAAAUACUGCAAUUCAGAAGCACAGGCUUAAGUCCCUUUUCCCUAUUUACAAAUUAAAAAGGCACCGAGACACCCUAACUGCAUUUCCUGGUAACUUAUUCAGAGCUGUUACAACUGUCUGCACGCACUGCCGCAGGAUCCAGACAGUGCCAGGGCGCUGAGCAGGACGGCCCCUCAGGGUCCUCAGUGGGGUCUUUUCUGCACACCUCUGAAUGUUCCAGGUCCCCUGAGACUCAGGAACGGCGGCCGUCUCCCUCAUCAUGGUGAGAAUGUGUAAUUACUGAACUGCGUGGAUCGAGCACUAUUUUGGAAACUGUUAACACCACAAUUGCAAUGGUCUCGUAGCCCCUGUGUGUGUGUGUGUGUGUAUUAAUUAUAUCUCUCAACAGCUGCUGCUGAUGCAAGGACUGCCAGUUUUUCUCUUCUCUCUCUCCCAGGAGACGCAGUCUUGCCUGACCCAGCAGAAGUUGAUCACAAGUCCAUUUGGGGCUUUCCCAGGCAGGCGGUGGGUCCCUGCUCCACCGCCACUGCCGUGCCCACCGCCCCUCAGGUAGAGCUGAAGUGCUGGGGCCCACUGUGACCCCCUACUGAGGGAGACCCUGUGGCUCCAGGGGAGGCAAUGCCCCUGCCCUCUUCUGAGAGGGAGAGAGAUGACUGUGGGUCUGGGGAGGAGGCAGAGAGGGGCAUGGGCCUCAGCAUGUGGCUGGUGCCCUUCGUGCGGGCCUUUCAUCGCCCAGCUCUGCUUGUCCUGAGCAGAGGACAGAAGAGGGCAGGUGAGGCACCCCCUCUUCACCUCUGGCCGGGGGUGCCACCCACCAGCUCUGAUGGCCCUCCUGGGGCGAUGGCACUGCUGCCCAUCUGUGGCCUUUUGGGAACCAGGGAUCCCUUUUCCACCUUUUUUAUAAAUGAGGAGCCAAACGAGGUUCUGGAAAGCAGAGAUUUGCCUAAACCUCCAGGGAAGAGUCAGGGCUUGGCUCUGACUGAGGCUUGUCCGCCCCCAGCGGUCCUGAAGCAGAGAGCUGGGACCUGAAGGAGGGGACCGCCAACAGGAGUCUGCCUGAGCCACCACUUCCUCUAACCAGGUGGGUCCCUGCCUUUUGCUUGGACAGCAGCUGUGAUAUGUGACACAGACCUGGGUCAGGUGCCUCCCUGAUGGCUAACGGCAGCCCUGCAGUGACACUUCCUGGAGCACUGUUAGUGGGGUUAAACCGAAACACUCAAGAGCGUGUCAAUGAGUCUCAGACGCUGCACACAGAAGCACGGGUGGAUCCCAGGCUCUGUGCACAGCAGCACGGGUGGAUCGCAGGCUCUGUGCACAGAAGCACGAGGGGAUCCCAGGCUCUGUGCACAGCAGCAUGGGUGGAUCCCAGUCUCUGCACGGAACCACUGGUGGGCCUCAGGCUCUGUACACAGAAGCACAGGUGGAUCCCAGGACUUUGCACAGAAACACGGGUGGGCCUCUGGCUCUGUGCACAGAAGCAUGGGUGGAUCCCAGAACUGUGCACACAAGCAUGGGUGGAUCCCAGGCUCUGUGCACAGAAGCAUGGGCAGGCCUCAGGCUCUGUACACCGAAG
rnacentral:lncRNA from 1 species